UUGGGAAUCUUGGACAAUGCGGGAAACCCUGAUCCAGCCAUGCCGCGUGAGUGAUGAAGGCCUUCGGGUUGUAAAACUCUUUCGACGGGGACGAUAAUGACGGUACCCGUAGAAGAAGCUCCGGCUAACUUCGUGCCAGCAGCCGCGGUAAUACGAAGGGGGCUAGCGUUGUUCGGAAUUACUGGGCGUAAAGCGCGCGCAGGCGGCUAUCCAAGUCAGUGGUGAAAGCCCGGAGCUCAACUCCGGAACUGCCAUUGAAACUGUUUAGCUUGAGGAUGAGAGAGGUGAGUGGAAUUCCCAGUGUAGAGGUGAAAUUCGUAGAUAUUGGGAAGAACACCGGUGGCGAAGGCGGCUCACUGGCUCAUUACUGACGCUCAGGCGCGAUAGCGUGGGGAUCAAACAGGAUUAGAUACCCUGGUAGUCCACGCCGUAAACGAUGAAUGCUAGCCGUUGGGCAGCUUGCUGUUCAGUGGCGCAGCUAACGCAUUAAGCAUUCCGCCUGGGGAGUACGGCCGCAAGGUUG
rnacentral:rRNA from 1 species